rnacentral:rRNA from 1 species
GUAAACGGCGGCCGUAACUAUAACGGUCCUAAGGUAGCGAAAUUCCUUGUCGGGUAAGUUCCGACCCGCACGAAAGGUGUAACGAUUUGGGCACUGUCUCAACGAGGGACCCGGUGAAAUUGAAGUACCUGUGAAGAUGCAGGUUACCCGCGACUGGACAGAAAGACCCCAUGGAGCUUUACUGUAACCUGAGAUUGGAUUCCGGUAAGAGAUGUACAGGAUAGUUGGGAGGCUGAGAAGUGAGUACGCCAGUAUUCACGGAGCCGCUGGUGGGAUACCAACCUUGUUUUAUUGGAAUUCUAACGAGAAGCGUAACGAGCUUGCGGACAGUCUCAGGCGGGCAGUUUGACUGGGGCGGUCGCCUCCGAAAGAGUAACGGAGGCGCCCAAAGGUUCCCUCAGCGCGGACGGAAACCGCGCGAAGAGUGCAAAGGCAGAAGGGAGCUUGACUGCGAGACGGACAGGUCGAGCAGGGACGAAAGUCGGGCUUAGUGAUCCGGUGGUAGAGAGUGGAAUUGCCAUCGCUCAACGGAUAAAAGCUACCCUGGGGAUAACAGGCUUAUCUCUCCCAAGAGUCCAUAUCGACGGGGAGGUUUGGCACCUCGAUGUCGGCUCAUCACAUCCUGGGGCUGAAGUAGGUCCCAAGGGUUGGGCUGUUCGCCCAUUAAAGUGGUACGCGAGCUGGGUUCAGAACGUCGUGAGACAGUUCGGUCCCUAUCCAUCGCGGGCGUAAGAAACUUGAAAGGGGCUGCUCCUAGUACGAGAGGACCGGAGUGGACCGACCAAUGGUGUACCAGUCAUGGCGCCAGCCGUGCAGCUGGGUAGCUACGUCGGGGACGGAUAAACGCUGAAAGCAUCUAAGCGUGAAACCAGCCUAGAGAUGAGGUUUCUCAUUACAUUAGUAAGUAAGGUCCCACAAAGACGAUGUGGUUGAUAGGCCGGGAGUGGAAGUACAGCGAUGUACGGAGCGGACCGGUACUAAUAGACCGAGGACUUGACUAC